rnacentral:rRNA from 1 species
CGGGGUGCAGCAGGCGCGAAACCUCUGCAAUAGGCGAAAGCCUGACAGGGUUACUCUGAGUGAUUCCCGCUAAGGGGAUCUUUUGGCACCUCUAAAAAUGGUGCAGAAUAAGGGGUGGGCAAGCCUGGUGUCAGCCGCCGCGGUAAUACCAGCACCCCGAGUGGUCGGGACGAUUAUUGGGCCUAAAGCAUCCGUAGCCGGCCACGCAAGUCCUCCGUUAAAUCCACCCGCUCAACGGUUGGGCUGCGGAGGAUACUACGUGGCUAGGAGGCGGGAGAGGCAAGCGGUACUCAAUGGGUAGGGGUAAAAUCCUUUGAUCCAUUGAAGACCACCAGUGGCGAAGGCGGCUUGCCAGAACGCGCUCGACGGUGAGGGAUGAAAGCUGGGGGAGCAAACCGGAUUAGAUACCCGGGUAGUCCCAGCUGUAAACGAUGCAGACUCGGUGAUGGGAUGGCCUCGAGCCAUCCCAGUGCCGCAGGGAAGCCGUUAAGUCUGCCGCCUGGGGAGUACGGUCGCAAGACUGAAACUUAAAGGAAUU